GCAAGCGGUGAUACCUAUGUAGCACGCUAAAUUCACCAGUUCACAACGAACUACUGACGUUAAGCAACAUUGCGGGUGGUUAGUAUCCAGAUGAGUGACCAUCUGGGAAAUCGCGUGUUGCUGGUU
rfam:Asian citrus Psyllid, Diaphorina citri - Florida Strain, whole genome shotgun sequence.